UACAGAGACUGCAAGCGUUACUCGGAUUCACUGGGCGUAAAGGGAGCGCAGGCGGACCGGUGUGUCAGAUGUGAAACCCCCAGGGCUCAACCCUGGGACUGCGUCUGAAACUGCCGGUCUAGGGACUCGGAGGGGCUAGUGGAAUUCCUGGUGGAGCAGUGAAAUGCGUAGAUAUCAGGAGGAACACCAACGGCGAAAGGCAGCUAGCUGGACGAGACCGACGCUCAGGCUCGAAAGUAUGGGGAGCAAAAGG
rnacentral:rRNA from 1 species